UCAAAGAUUAAGCCAUGCAUGUCUAAGUAUAAGCAAUUUAUAUGUGUGAAACUGCGAAUGGCUCAUUAAAUCGGUUAUAAAGUAUUUGAUAGUGAAAGACUAUAUGGAUAGCCAUAGUGAUUCUAGAGCUAAUACAUGCGUAAAGGCCUAACUCUUUAUAGGGAAAGGCUGUGUUUAUUAGAUUGAAAACCAACAGCAGUGGUAGGCAACUAUCAUUGUAUAUUUUGGUGAGUCAUAAUAAAUGAGCGAAUCUUCGGUUUUUCGAAGAUGAAACAUUUCUAUUUCCGCUCUAUCAACUUUGGCGUUAAGGUAGUGGCUUAACGAAGUUUUGACGGAUAACGGAGAAUUAGGGUUCGAUUCCGGAGAGGGAGCCUGAGAAACGGCUACCACUUCUAAGGAAGGCAGCAGGCGCGAAAAUUACCCAAUCCCAAUUAUCUUGGGGAGGUAGUGACAAAAAAUAACGAUGCAGGGUUCUUUGAAUUCUGUAAUUGUAAUGGUCUGGACUCAAAACAUCCAGAGAGUAACAAUUAGAGGGCAAGUCUGGUGCCAGCAGCUGCGGUAAUUCCAGCUCUAAUAGUGUAUACUAAAAUUGCUGCAGUUAAAAAGCUCGUAGUUGGAUUUUAGGCGGGACUGUUUGUCAAUUUGACUGGGGAUAUUUAAUUGGCAGGGGGGGGUUAACCUUGUAUCUAAAGGUAACCUUAUUUAACCUCCAGUCAAGGUAUCCUUAAUUUUAAGUCAGUCAUAUUGAUUGUUUCGCCGAGUUUUUUUCGGGUUGGUUUUGUCCUCUUUAUUGAGCGGCAAGAUUGAUUCGGAGGAUUUACUUUGAAGAAAAUGGAGUGUUCAAAGCAGGCGUUUUUGCAGCUGAACACAUUAGCAUGGAAUAAUAAAAUAAGACAUCGGCGAUUACUUUCCGGCUGGCUAAGGUUCGUCUUCAAUUGAUUGUCAUAGUUCAAUUUUUAAUCCUUCUUCUUUUUCUUUCUUACUCUUUCUCGAGGGGAAAGGGAUGGGAAGCCGGGUAGGUUGAAUUUUAAUGAUGAUGAGUUGAGAUCUAGAAAGGUCAGUUUGGGGGUAAUCUACAGUAAUGUAUUCGUUUUGUUGGUUCAUGGAGUUGAUGUAAUGAUUAAUAGGAAUAGUCGGGGAUAUCCGUAUUGCAUUGUCAGAGGUGAAAUUCUUGGAUUUAUGCAAGACGAACUAGUGCGAAAGCAUUUAUCAAGGAUGUUUUCAUUAAUCAAGAACGAAAGUAAGGGGAUCGAAGACGAUCAGAAACCGUUGUAGUCCUUGCCAUAAACUAUACCGUCUAAGGAUCGGUGGUUGUCAAUUUUUAGGACUCCUCCGGCACUUUUAGAGAAAUCACAAGUCUCUGGGUUCUGGGGGGAGUAUGGUCGCAAGGCUGAAACUUAAAGAAAUUGACGGAAGGGCACCACCAGGUGUGGAGCCUGCGGCUUAAUUUGACUCAACACGGGGAAACUUACCAGGUCCGGACGCGGGAAGGAUUGACAGAUUGAUAGCUCUUUCUUGAUUCCGUGGGUGGUGGUGCAUGGUCGUUCUUAGUUGGUGGAGUGAUUUGUCUGGUUAAUUCCGAUAACGAACGAGACCUCAACCUACUAAAUAGCCAGGUUUCAAGUUUUAAAGGGGAGAGAGGAGGAGGAGUGUGUAGGGGGCAACUCUGAAGCAUUUUUCUUUUUUCUUUCUUCUGCUUGAGACUCCAAUUUUAUGGUUUCUUCUUAGGGGGACUACCGUAUUUUUUUUAAACGGGGGAAGCAUGAGGCAAUAACAGGUCUGUGAUGCCCUUAGAUGUCCUGGACCGCACGCGCGCUACAAUGAUGCAGUCAGCGAGCUUGUCCUGUCCCGAAAGGGUUGGGUAAUCUUUUAAAACUGCAUCGUACUGGGGAUUGAUCUUUGUAAUUCUGGAUCAUGAACAAGGAAUACCUAGUAGGUACGGUUCAUCAGAUCGUGCCGAUUACGUCCCUGCCCUUUGUACACACCGCCCGUCGCUCCUACCGAUGAUUGUUCAGAUGAAAUGCUCGGAUUGUGCGGUUGUGGUUGCUCUCAAGGUGGCCGCUUACUGCUCUGGAGAAGAGUAGUGAAUCUUAACACUUAGA
rnacentral:rRNA from 1 species